CCACUGUGGAUACCCCUGGCAGGUUACUCUUCCAGGCUCUGUCCAGGUGGAAUAGGGGAGCGCAAGACUCUGCCCCAUGAGGCGCAAUCCUUUUCCACAACAUCGGAGGUUAAGCCUGUCCCUUGAGUCUAUGUCUGCAUAUUCCUAUUGCUUUUCAGAGUCCCACGGACAAUGGCUGAGGAGAGAAGCCAUGCAGGAAACAUCU
ensembl:snoRNA SNORA73 Small nucleolar RNA SNORA73 family